rnacentral:lncRNA from 1 species
CAGGAUGGAUCCAAGAGAUGUACAUUUUUAAAGAACAUUCAAGUAAUUCUGAGAAGCAGCACAUUUGAGCGGUGAAGAACUCAAUAAACUUUGCGGUCUCUUAAAGUGUUAGGAAUACAGGAUUCUAUAAGUGUACAUUCCUCAAUGAUUAAGGGCCAUUUGUCACCUCAGAGUUCAGCUGGGUCUUACUUUCCUUUAAAAAAAAAAACUAUUUAAAAUCAUU